rnacentral:tRNA from 1 species
GCGGGAGUUGGGGGUAAGUACGCGUUUAGACGCAGGUUUCGGCCCGUCCUGAAUACAGAACAUGAAAGGUCCCUUGCCAAGGUAAGGGUCGCGAGUUCGAGCCUCGUCUCCCGCUCCA